AAGCGGGAAGAGCUCAAAUUUAAAAUCUGGCAGUCUUUGGUUGUCCGAAUUGUAAUCUAGAGAAGCGUUUUCCGUGCUGGACUGUGUACAAGUUUCCUGGAUACGGAACAUCAUAGAGGGUGAGAAUCCCGUCCUUGACACAGACCCCCAGUACUUUUGUGAUGCGCUCUCGACGAGUCGAGUUGUUUGGGAUUGCAGCUCAAAAUGGGAGGUAAAUUCCUUCUAAAGCUAAAUAUUGGCGAGAGACCGAUAGCGAACAAGUACCGUGAGGGAAAGAUGAAAAGCACUUUGGAAAGAGAGUUAAACAGUACGUGAAAUUGUUAAAAGGGAAACGCUUGAAGUCAGUCACGUUUGCUUGGACUCAGCCUUACUUCGGUUUGGUGCAUUUCCUUGCAGACGGGCCAGCGUCCAUGUUGUUUGCCGGAGAAGGGGUGAGAGAAUGUGGCUCCUUUGGGAGUGUUAUAGCUCUUGCUCGUAUGCGGGGAAUGAUAUGGAGUGGUACAGCACACUUUGGUGGUGCUUGUGCUGGCAUAAUGGCUUUAAACGACCCGUCUUGAAACACGGACCAAGGAGUCUAACAUGUCUGCGAGUGUUUGGGUGGAAAACCCGGGUGCGUAAUGAAAGUGAUGGCUGGGAACCCCUUUUGGGAGGCACCGGCGCCCCGAGCUGACCUUCUGUGACGCAUCGGAGGCAGAGCAUACAUGUUGGGACCCGAAAGAUGGUGAACUAUGCC
rnacentral:rRNA from 1 species